rnacentral:rRNA from 1 species
UACGGGGGGGGCAAGCGUUGUUCGGAAUUACUGGGCGUAAAGGGCUCGUAGGUGGCCAACUAAGUCAGACGUGAAAUCCCUCGGCUUAACCGGGGAACUGCGUCUGAUACUGGAUGGCUUGAGUUUGGGAGAGGGACGCGGAAUUCCAGGUGUAGCGGUGAAAUGCGCAGAUAUCAGGAGGAACACCGAUGGCGAAGGCAGGUCUCUGGGCCACUACUGACGCUGAGGAGCGAAAGCGUGGGGAGCAAACAGG